rnacentral:rRNA from 1 species
AGCGAACGCUGGCGGCAGGCUUAACACAUGCAAGUCGAGCGCCGUAGCAAUACGGAGCGGCAGACGGGUGAGUAACGCGUGGGAACGUACCUUUUGGUUCGGAACAACACAGGGAAACUUGUGCUAAUACCGAAUAAGCCCUUACGGGAAAGAUUUAUCGCCGAAAGAUCGGCCCGCGUCUGAUUAGCUUGUUGGUGAGGUAACGGCUCACCAAGGCGACGAUCAGUAGCUGGUCUGAGAGGAUGAUCAGCCACAUUGGGACUGAGACACGGCCCAAACUCCUACGGGAGGCAGCAGUGGGGAAUAUUGGACAAUGGGCGGCAAGCCUGAUCCAGCCAUGCCGCGUGAGUGAUGAAGGCCCUA